GCUUGCUAUUUUUAUGAAGAGCGGCGAACGGGUGAGUAACGCGUGGGAAAUCUGCCGAGUAGCGGGGGACAACGUUUGGAAACGAACGCUAAUACCGCAUAACAAUGAGAAUCGCAUGAUUCUUAUUUAAAAGAAGCAAUUGCUUCACUACUUGAUGAUCCCGCGUUGUAUUAGCUAGUUGGUAGUGUAAAGGACUACCAAGGCGAUGAUACAUAGCCGACCUGAGAGGGUGAUCGGCCACACUGGGACUGAGACACGGCCCAGACUCCUACGGGAGGCAGCAGUAGGGAAUCUUCGGCAAUGGGGGCAGCCCUGACCGAGCAACGCCCGCGUGAGUGAAGAAGGUUUUCGGAUCGUAAAACUCUGUUGUUAGAGAAGAACGUUAAGUAGAGUGGAAAAUUACUUUAAGUGACGGUAUCUAACCAGAAAGGGACGGCUAACUUACGUGCCAGCAGCCGCGGUAAUACGUAGGUCCCAAGCCGUUGUCCGGAUUUAUUGGG
rnacentral:rRNA from 1 species